rnacentral:rRNA from 1 species
UUGGCUCUCGCAUCGAUGAAGAACGCAGCGAAAUGCGAUAAGUAAUGUGAAUUGCAGAAUUCAGUGAAUCAUCGAAUCUUUGAACGCACCUUGCGCUCCUUGGUAUUCCGAGGAGCAUGCCUGUUUGAGUGUCAUUAAAUUCUCAACCUCACCAACUUUGUUGUGUGCAGGCUUGGAUGUGGGGGUUGCAGGUCCACUCUCGUGGUCUGCUCCUCUG